rnacentral:tRNA from 1 species
GUAUUGGUGGUUUAGUGGUGGAAUUCUCACCUUGCAUGUGGGUGACCUGGGUUUGAUUCCUGGCCAGUGCA